rnacentral:rRNA from 1 species
AUUGAACACUGGCGGCAGGCCUAACACAUGCAAGUCGAACGGUAGCACAGAGAGCUUGCUCUCGGGUGACGAGUGGCGGACGGGUGAGUAACGUCUGGGAAACUGCCCGAUGGAGGGAGAUAACUACUGGAAACGGUAGCUAAUACCGCAUAACGUCGCAAGACCAAAGUGGGGGACCUUCGGGCCUCACACCACCGGAUGUGCCCAGAUGGGAUUAGCUAGUAGGUGGGGUAAUGGCUCACCUAGGCGACGAUCCCUAGCUGGUCUGAGAGGAUGACCAGCCACACUGGAACUGAGACGCGGUCCAGACUCCUACGGGAGGCAGCAGUGGGGAAUAUUGCACAAUGGGCGCAAGCCUGAUGCAGCCAUGCCGCGUGUAUGAAGAAGGCCUUCGGGUUGUAAAGUACUUUCAGCGGGGAGGAAGGCGGUGAAGUUAAUAGCUUCACCGAUUGACGUUACCCGCAGAAGAAGCACCGGCUAACUCCGUGCCAGCCGCCGCUGUAA